ACAGUCCUUGAAUGUCUCCUAAUGUAACACUUUUUGUUUUAGGUCUGCCUUGAUAGAAAUCCAGAAGCUUUUCUACCAAAGAUUGGACAAAGCAAACUGGGAGACAUUAAACCUCACCAUAACAAAGGAUGUAACUGCAAGCGUUCAGGAUGUCUCAAGAAUUAUUGUGAGUGCUUUGAGGCUAAGAUUGUGUGUUCCUCAAUUUGCAAAUGCAUUGGUUGCAAAAAUUAUGAAGAAAGUCCAGAUAAAAAAAAGCCAGCUGACCAUGCUAAACUACAUGGACAUUGGAAACAAUGAUGAAAAUAACUCGUUUUUGACAACAACAUUUGGAAUUUUACCAAAAUUGGAGAAAGACAGGGAACCAGCUGUAUCUAUUUCUUGGGAAGAUGUGAAAGCAACGUGUGCCUGUCUCCUGGUAAAGGCUGAAGAGGCAGAAAAAGGAGGUUACUCUGUCUGUCUAGCUGAACGCGUGGUCAUGGAGGAAUUUGGGAGGUGUUUAUCCCAGAUCCUGCAAGUGCAAUUAAAAUGUAAAAGACUGAAAGUUGAAUAAUGUUCAACGUAUUAUGAAGUCAAUGAGUAGUAAUACUGAUAUAUUGCUGUAGUCUAAAUGAUCUUACCUUGAAUUUUCAGAGGAUUAAUUUCAUUUACUUCAGCUGCAUCCUUUCUGAAUUAUGCUUGUGUAAGUGAAACGUGGUGUUUUCUGGGCCAGUUGUUCAUUAUUUACAUAGACUCUAGUUUAAGUUAAACUUAAAAUGACUUUCUAGAAUGUUUAGGAGCGGAGAGCCAAUAAGCACUGAGAAGGAAGUUGUUAUCUUAGUUUGGUUGGUUUUGGUUGUGAAACAAUUCAACCUCUAGUGAUGGUAGGCAAAUCUGCUAAUUUAGCCCUGUCUUCUCUGAUUUGGUAACUUAUUUCUCAUUGCUGCCAUAUUGUCAUCUAAAUGAUUUGACAGAUAAUAUAAAAAAUAAUUCUCUUUGGUUUUAGAUGUUUUGUACUAGUUUAAUAUUUGCGUAGAAAUUUUUGGCUUUAAGCUUGAAAGAAUAAAGAUAUUCUCCAUGUG